rnacentral:tRNA from 1 species
GCCGAGGUAGCCUAGCCUGGUCAAGGCGGCAGAUUCGAAAUCUGCUGUCCAUUCGGACUCGUGAGUUCAAAUCUCACCCUCGGCG